UACGGAGGGUGCGAGCGUUGUCCGGAAUCACUGGGCGUAAAGAGCGUGUAGGCGGCCAUGUAGGUCCGUUGUGAAAACUCGAGGCUCAACCUCGAGACGCCGAUGGAAACCAUGUGGCUAGAGUCCGGAAGAGGAGAGUGGAAUUCCUGGUGUAGCGGUGAAAUGCGCAGAUAUCAGGAAGAACACCCGUGGCUAAGGCGGCUCUCUAGUACGGUACUGACGCUGAGACGCGAAAGCGUGGGGAGCGAACAGG
rnacentral:rRNA from 1 species